ensembl:lncRNA
AGAGGACAACAGGGGACAGACUUUUUCACUGGAGGAAGCGUUAUUAUGGUUUAUGAAUUCAUAUUUUAGUCAGUUUGAAAUUAAAAACAUCUUGAUGGAUGUGUUUGUUUUGGGGUUUUUUUACAAACACACACAGCUUUUCACUUGACAAGUUAUAAACUGAUGGACUGGAGUGGUGUGGAUUAUUGUGAUGUUUUUAUCAGCUGUUUGGACUCUCAUUCUGACGGCACCCAUUCACUGCAGAGGAUCCAGUGGUGAACAAGUGAUGUACUGCUACAUUUCUCCAAAUCUGUUCUGAUGAAGAAACAAACUCAGCUCCAUCUGAGAUGGCCUGAGUGUGAGUACAUUUUCAGAAUUUAUUUUUUAUUUUUGGGUGAACUAUUCCUUUAAUUGUGCUUGCUUACUAGGUCAAGCAAACCACCUCUCAAGGUCUCAAUGAAAAGUUUUGAAUUAUUCAGUGCUAAGGUCACUUCAAAAACAUCAUGUUCCCUGCAAAAUGUCAUUUAUACUCAGUAAAGCCAAUGAACUAUAAACACACAUGCACUUAAUGCAAAGUCAACAAACACAGCCGCACUCAGAGCUGAUGGUUUCUUUGAGAACAACCAGCCCUGCAGUGAUUUUCAUUUGUGGCAGGUCCAGUACGGUUUAGCAUGAGGAGCGUUGAGGCCCCUGCUAUUUCUGACACUGUCAUUAUCAAUGACUCCAGCGCUGUCUGUGCAUGUGCAAGGAGAUCAUGUGCAUCUGCAAGUACGGCUCACGGGUAAGUCCUGUUUCCUGCUAUUUCUGUGUAAUUUCCAGUGAGGCUUUUGCAUUGCGGCGACGUGUAAUUAUUCUUCUCUCUUUGUGGCAAGACAAAAAAGAGGAAGCACUCGUUCAUGAACUUAAAAUUUACCCUGUGGAAAAACUAAAGCGUUUCUACAUGUGUGUGCGACACAUCUGCAGAGUAUGAGACAUCUACAUUUUGGCUGUUUAACUCAAUGCAGAAUCCUGCACUGUAAAAAUCAGUUUCUUAAUGAGUAUUUCUGUCAUUUUCCAAUAAAAAUGUCUAAAUAUCCUUACA